UCGUGGACUGCAUUGAGGGUUGCUGCCACCACGCCAG
rnacentral:sRNA from 1 species